UAAUUCUCAUGUCUCAGUUACCUGUGUGGCUGGGAUUAUGGGUGUGCAACACCAUGCCCAUCUAAUUUUUGUAUUUUUAGCAGAGACUGGGUUUCACCAUGUUGCCCCAGUUAGUCCGGAACUCAUGGCCUCAUGCGAGCCGCCCAUCUCGGCCUCCCAAAGUGCUGGGAUUGUAGGUGUCAGCUACUGCACCUUGCCUGGAAAUGUCUUAUAACACCUGAGGGUUUUGGUAGUUUCAGAAAAUACAAAUUAGUAAUAUUUAUAUGAACCCCUGUAUAAUUUUAGAAUGAUUAUUUAAUCAGAUGACCCAGGAGCACUUAAUAUACAAAAUGUAUUGAUCACUGUGAGUUGGACUGCAUUCCUAAUGAGCAAAAUUGCCAUACUAAACUAAUUUUGUAAAGGGCUACUAGAAUAAUAAUGGAAAUAUUCUGCCAAACUUAACUAAGUACUUUGAAAAUCGGGCCAGGCGUGGUGGCUCACACCUGUAAUCUCAACACUUAGGGAGGCCAAGGUGGGCAGAUCACGAGGUCAGGAGUUCGAGACCAGCCUGGCCAAGAUGGUGAAACCCCUGUCUGUACUAAAAAUACAAAAAUUAGCUGAGUGUGGUGGCGGGCACCUAUAAUCCCAGCUACUCUGGAGGCUGAGGUGGGAGAAUCGCUUGAACUGGGGAGGUGGAGGUUGCAGUGAGCCGAGAUUGCGCCACUGCACUUCAACUUGGGUGACAGAGCAAGAGUCCAUCUCAAAACAAAACACAAAAACAUGUUUAACAGUUUAAAAUGAUAAGGUAUCCAUUGUAUAUAGCAUGAUUGGAUCGCAUUUCCUAGAUGUUGUAAAAGCCUUGAAGACUUGGUCACUGCAGAAGAGAUGAAAUGUAGUGAGAUUAAAUGGGAAGUUAUCUGUUUAGACUUUAGAAAUUGACUCAUCUAGGCCAGGCGCAGUGGCUCACGCCUGUAAUCCCAGCACUUUGGAAGGAUUAAAUUGGAAGUUCUCUGUUUAGACUUUAAAAAUUUACUCAUUUGGCCGGGCACGGUGGCUCAUGCCUGUAAUCCCAGCACUUUGGGAGGCCGAGGCAGGCAGAUCACCUGAGGUCAGGAGUUUGAGAUCAGCCUGACCAACAUGAUGAAACCCCAUCUCUACUAAAAAUACAAAAAAAAAAAAAAAAUUAGCCAGGUGUUGUGGCGCGUGCCUGUAAUCCCAGCUACUCAAGAGGCUGAGGCAGGAGAAUCGCUUGAACCGGGAGGCAGAGGUUGCGGUGAGCUGAGAUUGCACCAUUGCACUCCAGCCUGGGUGACAAGAGUGAAACUCCGUCUCAAAAAAAAAAAAAAUGGACUCAUUUAGGCUGGGCGGUGGCUCACGCCUGUAAUCCUAACACUUUUGGAGGCCUCGGUUCAUGAGGUCAAGAGAUUGAGACCAUCCUGGCCAACAUGAUGAAACGCUGUCUCUACUAAAAAUGCAAAAAUUAGCUGGGCGUGGUGGCAUGUGCGUGUAAUCCCAGCUACUCGAGAGGCUGAGGCAGGGGAAUCGCUUGAACCAGGGAGCUGGAGGUUGCAGCAAGCCAAGAUCGCACCACAGCACUCCAGCCUGGUGACAGAGCAAGACUCCGUCUCAAAAAAAAUUGACUUAUCUGUAGGAAGAGUUUGUAUCAGUCAGAAUAGGCUAGAUUAUGCAGUGGUAACAACUCCCAAAAUUCCAGUGACGUAAGUAAGAAAGUUUUGUUUCUCAUUCACCUAACACAUCCCAGAUGAAUCGAGGUCCUCUGACACCUUUGUGCGACAUUUUCCUCACUCUGGGAUCCAAGCUGAUGCAUUUAGCCUGCUGGAUUCAGCCUGCUGGAAAGCAAUCAUCUGAACAUUGCUGCUCACAGUGACAGAGGGAAAUAGCCACAUAGCAAAUUUCGCAUCACCUUAGUCAAGCCAGUCACGUGAUCACACCUAACUCCAGAGGGAGCAGGAAUGGAGGAAAAAUCCUAAAAAGCAGAAAAAAAUCAUUUACUGCCAGCAGCCAAAAAAGGAAAGAGGAGUGAAUGAAGAGACCAGAUGGAAAACAAAAUUACUUACAUAAAGUUUUAUGAUUAUCAAAUUGAAUGGAGAGGGAGAAGACACACCUUGAAAAUGAUUAAAGAGGAGGUGAGAAAGCUGAGAUUUUGAGAGGUAAGUGACAGCCAUGAUCACCGAGGAUUUGAACUUGGUGUGUCUGACACCUGUCCUUCUCCCUUGAAUCAGAGGUGAGUUCAUGGUGCGAACAUAGGUCUGAGUCACAGACACCAGACCUUUCUUUGGAUUCAUCUUGUGCCUGGGUUUUCUUUUCUUGGGCUGUAUGAUCUCCCUGGCUCCCUUUUAUCUUUCGUGCAAACAGACAUCUGGUAGGUCGGUCUCAUGAGGUCACCAGAUGUGCCCUAGUAGGUUUCAAGCCCCGGAUUAGACACAGUGUAGGUUCAAGCUAGGACAGCCUCCUCCCAGCUAGUCAAUCAGGGCUUCAUUAAAUGCUUAUUAGAGUGAUUUGGCUUUAUAAUUACCCACAGAGCUUUAAAAACGCAGACACUUUAGGUCCUACCCUAGAAAUCUCAAUUUAUUGAUUAAGGCAUAAGGCCUGGACAUUUUCUAUAAGCUCUCUCUCUCUUUUUUUUUUUUUUUUUUC
rnacentral:lncRNA from 10 species